GAACCCCUGGUUUCAUGACGCAGGAACGCAUCGGAGGUAUGGCAAACGCAAACGUUGAACUGACAGGGUAGAUGUCAAAUAGAAGAUGAAUUAGGAAUGAGGGACAUUGAAGGACGGAAAUUGUCAUAGGUGGAAGAAGAUGAAUUAAAUAAAAAUAAGAAAAGCUAGUGAGACAGAGUAGAAGCAUUUUUUCUGAUAAGAUUGUUAAAUUAGUUGGAAAUUUGCGGAAUUUAGUUUGUCAUUAGAUGACUAUAUCGAGUGCCAGCCUGAAAACCAUCUGGAGAAUUUGAUAGUUAACAAGUAAGCAUAAAUAAAUAUGAAUUCGAGCAAAACACAUAAGUACCACAUUGGAUCUAGGUCUAUUGAACAGAGGGUGCAUUUUGAGGACCAGGCAGGCCAAUUGGGUCAUGACAACACAGGACAAACGAAGAUAAACAUUCUGUAAGUGAAAUACCAAUACUGUGUUGAGCUAAUAUCAACAAAACGCCCACGCAAUACCUAAAUCAUCCAAUAUUGUCUAUGGUUUAAUGGUUAGGUCACUGAUACUGCUACGUACAGUCAGGAUUUGGUUUACGCGAACUGAGUGGCGAAAAUAUAGAAUCGGGCGAGUGACGGCUACGAAGAAACAAUAAUUGUAAGUAAACACUAGUUUAAAUUCAAUAUCAAAGUAUAAUGCAUUCAAUAUAUUUUAGCUUUGAUCGGCGAAUAAUAAAGUCGAUUUUUCAAAGAGGUUUCUUGUUCAGUCCGAACAAUAUCAAAGAAUUAUUUCUCGGAUUGAAUCACUCGUCAUAUGAUGACUUCGCACCAUUCCAAGGACGCGGACCAACUCGGACUCCCAGCAGAUGAUCGCGCAGUUUGCGUGUAUUGCAAAAAGUAUGCAUCGAAGGAUGUCAACUGGGUCCAGUGCAAAAAUUGCGAGGAAUGGGCUCAUUUUUCCUGCGCCGGCGUUGACGAGAGUGUAGUCGAUGUGGACUGGCUCUGCACGCGAUGUACUACUACCACCGGGCAGCAGCUGAACGUUCCUAAGGGUAGAAAGCGAUCAAAUAAGGGCAAAUCUGGAUCGAAGGGCGAAUCGGGGUCUGUUCGCGGCAGUGGUUCUGUCUCUGAUCUAACUGACCAGCAGUUUGAGGAGGAACAGCUUGCGCGCGAAAGAGCUUUCGAGAAGCAGAUGGAGGUUCGGGAGCAAAGAUUGCGUCGAGAGAUGGAGUGGAAUGCAAAACAGCUGGCGAUGGAACGUAGAAUGCGGCAAUUGGAACUGGACGCGCAGCGGAAAAUGCGAGACGAACAGCUCAAACAGGAACAAACACUCUUGGAUGAACAGUUGGCUGCGGAAAAGGUGUUUCUGGAGAAGCGAACCGCGCUUCGUAGUCAGAUGAAUCGAAGCUUUCAGAAGGUUCAAUCAGUUAUCGACGAUGAGGGAGCCGUAGGUGGCAUUUCGGAGGAACCCACCAAGAAGGUGAAAUCUUGGCUUAGAGAACAGGACGAGUUCUUAACUCCUCUGGCAGUAGACAAACGCGGGGCUUAUAAGAAAGGUGAGAAACCAUGUAUUGUAGUGGAACCAGAAGGUUCACGGAUUGAAUCGAUCCGGUCGUCAGCCGGGAAAAUUCGGUCAGUCUACGAGAAUGAAGCUGAUGAAAACGACGAGAACGAGAGUGAUGAUGGGGAUGCGACGGCUUCUGGGAGAGAGAGACACACAGAUCACUGGUCUCCUAUCCCUAGCGAAGCGGGUGGGUAUCUUCGCGGAUCCGUCAACCGUGCCUUCAGGUUGUCGCGAGAACAGAUUGCUACGAGGAAGGUUGUGUCCAGAACUCUACCUAAAUUCAAUGGAGAUCCAGAAGCGUGGCCACUUUUCAUAAGUAGCUUUGAACAUACUACCAGAGCUUGCGGCUACUCCAAUAUUGAGAAUCUCGACCGGCUACUGAACAGUUUGGAGGGAGAAGCGCUCAACGCAGUGAGAAGUAUGCUAGUGCUUCCAGAUUCAGUACCAGAGGUUAUUCGAGAUUUGCGCAGAUUGUUCGGUCAGCCAGAGAGAUUGUUGAGAACAUUGCUCAACAAAGUUAAAAACGCACCACCACCGACAACGGAAAAUUUGAAGACAUUCGUCACCUUCGGCAUAACGGUCAAACAGUUGUGCGACCAUUUGGAAGCUGCACGUCUCCAUGAGCACCUUAACAAUCCGCUGAUGGUUCAACAGCUAGUCGAGAAGCUACCACCGGAAUACCAGAUGAAAUGGGUAGAGUAUCGGCGCAGCAAACAUGGAACUCCGCUAAGGCUUUUCACCGAUUACAUCACGGGCGUUGGUGACGUUGCAUCCGAAGCAGUAGCAUACAAUUCGACGACCAAAGAACUGGCACGAAAUAUGAAACCGAAGCUCACUAAGAAGAAGGAAUUCGUCCAUGUCCACAACUCAUCGUCUACGCAUACAGAAGGAACAUCAAACGAAAAGCCAAGUAAACCCUGUUGGAUCUGCAAGCGUACCGACCACCGAAUCCGAUUCUGUGAUGACUUCCGGAAAAUGAAUAUCGCAGAGCGACUGAGAGCUGUUGAAAAGGAGAAGCUGUGUGGAACUUGUUUGAAUAAGCAUGGCGACAACCCGUGCGGGUCAAAACUGCGGUGUACGGUCAAAAACUGUAAAGGAAACCAUCACAGCCUACUACAUAGAGCGGAAGAGUCUGUGCAGCUUCAGAAGGUGGAAUGUAACAAACACGAAGGUUCAACGCGUUCAGUGAUCUUCCGUAUGGUACCGGUGACCCUACACGCUGAUAGUAAACGGUAUGAUACGUUGGCCUUCUUAGACGAAGGUUCGUCUACUACGCUAAUAGACGACGAGGUGGUAAAUUUACUGCAAGUUAAAGGACAACCGGAACCACUCAUCGUUACAUGGACAGGGAAUAUCAACCGUUGUGAGAAUACUUCUCAGAGAGUCGCGAUAACGUUAUCAGCUCAGGGUUCGAACGAAAAGAUUCUACUUGAGGAUGUUCGUACAGUGUCAGAGCUUCUGCUGCCUCGACAGGAUAUGCGGUUUUCAGAGGUUUCGAGACAGUAUCCUCAUCUGGCAGGACUGCCUGUCAAAGAUUAUCGGGACAAACGAGCGACAAUCUUGGUCGGCCUUGACAAUCUGCAUUUGUUCGCGCCUCUAGAAUCUAGAGUAGGUAAUUGGAAUGAGCCGAUAGCGGUCCGAUCAAAGAUGGGUUGGACGGUUUACGGACCGGAAAAGCAAAAGCCUAACGCUAGUACAUACCUAAACCUCCACUCCGUAACACCAAUAACCAAUCGACAACUACACGAACUGAUGCGCGAGCAGUAUGCACUGAAUGAGAUUGGCGUGACGUCAUUUGCGAUACCAGAACCUAAGGAGGAACAAAGAGCAAAAGCGAUUCUUAAAUCAACGACGAAACGGAUCGGGGAGCGGUUUGAAACUGGAUUGCUUUGGCGAGAAGAUGAACGAAGGUUUCCUGAUAGCUAUCCAAUGGCUAUGCGCAGAUUGAAGGCGCUGGAACGGAAGUUGCAAAGAGUUCCAGUGUUGAAGCAGAAAGUUUGUCAGAUGAUUGAGGAGUACGAGCUGAAGGGAUAUGCGCACAAAAUCACUGAUGCAGAACUUUCCGAAACACCCAUUACUUCUGUUUGGUAUCUGCCACUAAACGUAGUAAUAAACCCACGAAAACCCGAUAAAAUACGCCUGGUUUGGGACGCUGCGGCUACUGUCGCAGGCAUAUCACUGAAUUCGGAGUUGCUUAAAGGGCCGGACAUGUUGGUGCCUCUCCCAAAAGUCGUCUGCUGCUUCCGGGAAGGUCCUGUCGCCCUUGGGGGCGACAUCCAAGAGAUGUAUCACCAAUUGAAAAUUAGAGCCGACGACAAACAAGCGCAACGCUUCCUGUAUCAGUCAAAGGACUCAGGAGCUCCGCAGAUAUAUGUGAUGGAUGUGGCUACUUUCGGAGCCACCUGUUCACCUUGCUCUGCCCAGUUCGUUAAAAACAUAAAUGCAGAGCAGUUUUCGGACGAAUACCCUCAGGCAACCUCAGCAAUCGUGAAACAGCACUACGUGGAUGACUACUACGACAGCGUGGAUUCAGUUGAGGAAGCAAUCCAACGAGCUAGAGAAGUAAAAUACAUCCACGCGAAGGGCGGCUUCCACAUCAGGAACUGGGUGUCAAACUCGGCUGCGUUUCUAGAAGCGUUGGGAGAAAGGAGCGGCGAAGAAGUUGUGCACUUUAAUCGAGACAAAGGAUCAAAUUGCGAGCGGGUUCUGGGAAUCGUUUGGAAUCCUGUGGAAGACGUCUUUUCCUUUUCUACAGCCUCAAAGGCGGAAUUUGUGAAGGUUCUAGAUGGCGAGGAGUACCCAACGAAACGAAUGGUUCUGAGCUUCGUAAUGGCACAAUUCGAUCCGAUCGGGCUUCUUACUCCAGUUACUGUACGCGGCAAGAUGCUGGUGCAAGACCUUUGGAGAACAGGUUGCGACUGGGAUGAAAAGAUCGAUGAAAUAGCGGCACACAAAUGGAUGCGAUGGAUAAGUCUGAUGCGGAGUAUUGGAUCGUUCAAGCUACCACGCAGCUACUUCGGGAAUGCUAAAUCGUGCGAAAUAAAGGACUUGCAGUUGCACAUAUUCACAGAUGCGAGUGAGACAGCGUAUGGUUGUGUGGCGUACUUCCGCGCGGUAGUACGCGGAGAAGUGAGGUGCGCACUAGUAAUGAGUCGCUCCAAAGUAGCACCGCUGAAACAAAUAUCGAUUCCUCGCUUAGAGCUCAUGGCUGCAGUUUUGGGAGCAAGAUUAGCCCGGACGGUUCAAGAGAGUCACAACUUCGUAGUCGACCGAGUAGUGUAUUGGACGGAUGCAAACGUAGUACUAUCGUGGAUUCGAUCCGACCAGCGUCGAUACAAACAAUUUGUGGGUUUUCGGGUUGGAGAAAUUCUCAGCUUGACCAAAUUGACUGACUGGCGCUGGGUGCCAACACGUUUCAACGUGGCAGAUCAACUUACGAAGUGGGGAAAAGAUCCAGAAAUGCAUCCAGAAAGCUCAUGGGUGUGCGGACCAGCCUUCAUCUACAAAUCAGAACAUGAGUGGCCAAAAAAGGAGUUGCCGCCCCCUAACACCAUGGAAGAACUUCGCGUGAAUUUGCUGAUACACGACGUCAAGCUUCAAGAGGAAAUUAUAGACUCCUCACGCAUAGCAAAAUGGACUAUCCUAGUGCGAACUUUGGCGACAGCUUUGCGAUUCAUUUCAAACUGCCGGCGAAAACUUAACGGACAGGCGAUAGAGACUCUUAAAGGAACGGAGCGACAACAGAAACUUUUGAAGAGUGGUGCUGUUCAUGGGAUUCGUGUGCCGUUGAAGCAAGAAGAAUACAAAAGGGCUGAACGAUGUUUGAUAAAGAUGGCACAAGCGGAGUGUUUUAGCGACGAAAUUAAGGUGAUGAAACGGAACAACAAUCGUCCGGUUGAUCAAUGGAUCGCGCUAGAAAAAUCUAGUCCGUUGAGCAAGUUGACACCCUUAAUCGACGGAGAAGGUUUGAUUCGAAUGGAAGGUCGGUGCGAGAAGGCUGAACAUUUGCCGUUCGACUUGAGGUUUCCACUUAUACUGCCCGCUAACUGUAGAAUCACAAACAUGAUCGUCCAAUACUUCCACGAAAAGUGCGGGCAUGGAUACAGGCUGACAGUGAAGAAUCAAUUGAAGCAACUGUAUCACGUGGUUCACAUCGACGCAGUUGUGAAAAAGGUGGCAUCAGCGUGCAUGUGGUGCAAAGUACGACGCAAUCGUCCGCGGGUCCCGCGGGAGGCACCACUACCAGUGCAGCGUUUGACACCAAGCCUUCGUCCCUUCAGCUUCGUCGGGGUCGACUACAUGGGACCAUUUGAAGUGACGGUGGCACGUCACAAAGAAAAACGAUGGAUUGCCUUGUUCACUUGCUUGGUGACUAGGGCAAUUCACUUGGAAGUGUCCUUUGGACUCACUACCCAGUCUUGUUUAAUGGCGAUCAGCCGGUUCGUCGCUCGAAGAGGCUGGCCGAUAGAGUUCCUAUCCGACAACGGUACAAAUUUUCAAGGUGCCAGUAAAGAAUUGUUAGCGUUGAUCCAGAGUAUUGAGCUAGAUUGCGCUGAUGAGUACACUAAUGCCAGAACAAAAUGGACCUUUAACCCUCCUGGGACACCCCACAUGGGAGGCGUGUGGGAACGCCUAGUGCGUUCGGUUAAGGAGGCCCUAAAAGCUCUAGACGACGGAAGGCGAUUAACAGAUGAAAUUAUGCAAACAGUCGUUGUUGAAGCGGAGGAUAUUAUUAAUUCUCGACCGCUUACAUACGUGGAACAGGAAUCGGAUGAAGUAGACGCGCUGACUCCGAACCAUUUCCUACGUGGACCACCGUCGCAUCAAUAUCAGAUAGUGGCUAGACCCCCACAUCCAGCAGAAGCCCUACGAGAUUCUUUCAAGCGUUCCCAACAGCUGUCCAACGAACUUUGGCAACGCUGGGUCAACGAGUAUGUUCCAUCAUUGAAUCAACGGACAAAGUGGUUCGGUGAAACGAGGCCACUGAAGACUGGCGACUUGGUGUAUAUUGUAGAAGGGAGUAACCGGAAGUGCUGGGUACGCGGGAGAGUGGAGGAACCUAUCAUGUCCAGCGAUGGCCGUAUUCGACAGGCAUGGGUGCGAACGAGGACUAAGCGAUACAAGAGAUCUGUUGCUAACUUGGCCGUUUUAGAGUUGGACGAUGGUAACACCGAACCGGAAGUCACCCCCGGUUUAGGGUUACGGGCCGGGGAUUGUUGAGAACCCCUGGUUUCAUGACGCAGGAACGCAUCGGAGGUAUGGCAAACGCAAACGUUGAACUGACAGGGUAGAUGUCAAAUAGAAGAUGAAUUAGGAAUGAGGGACAUUGAAGGACGGAAAUUGUCAUAGGUGGAAGAAGAUGAAUUAAAUAAAAAUAAGAAAAGCUAGUGAGACAGAGUAGAAGCAUUUUUUCUGAUAAGAUUGUUAAAUUAGUUGGAAAUUUGCGGAAUUUAGUUUGUCAUUAGAUGACUAUAUCGAGUGCCAGCCUGAAAACCAUCUGGAGAAUUUGAUAGUUAACAAGUCUAUUGAACAGAGGGUGCAUUUUGAGGACCAGGCAGGCCAAUUGGGUCAUGACAACACAGGACAAACGAAGAUAAACAUUCUGUAAGUGAAAUACCAAUACUGUGUUGAGCUAAUAUCAACAAAACGCCCACGCAAUACCUAAAUCAUCCAAUAUUGUCUAUGGUUUAAUGGUUAGGUCACUGAUACUGCUACGUACAGUCAGGAUUUGGUUUACGCGAACUGAGUGGCGAAAAUAUAGAAUCGGGCGAGUGACGGCUACGAAGAAACAAUAAUUGUAAGUAAACACUAGUUUAAAUUCAAUAUCAAAGUAUAAUGCAUUCAAUAUAUUUUAGCUUUGAUCGGCGAAUAAUAAAGUCGAUUUUUCAAAGAGGUUUCUUGU